GAUGAAGAACGUAGCGAAAUGCGAUACGUAAUGUGAAUUGCAAAUUCAGUGAAUCAUCGAGUCUUUGAACGCACAUUGCGCCCCCUGGUAUUCCGGGGGGCAUGCCUGUCCGAGCGUCAUUGCUGCCCUCAAGCACGGCUUGUGUGUUGGGCCCCGUCCUCCGAUUCCGGGGGACGGGCCCGAAAGGCAGCGGCGGCACCGCGUCCGGUCCUCGAGCGUAUGGGGCUUUGUCACCCGCUCUGUAGGCCCGGCCGGCGCUUGCCGAUCAACCCAAAUUUUUAUCCAGGUUGACCUCGGAUCAGGUAGGGAUACCCGCUGAACUUAAGCAUAUCAAUAAGGGAGGA
rnacentral:misc_RNA from 1 species